UACCAGCACCCCGAGUGGUCGGGACGUUUAUUGGGCCUAAAGCAUCCGUAGCCGGUUCUGCAAGUCUUCCGUUAAAUCCACCUGCUUAACAGAUGGGCCGCGGAAGAUACUAUAGAGCUAGGAGGCGGGAGAGGCAAGCGGUACUCGAUGGGUAGGGGUAAAAUCCGUUGAUCCAUUGAAGACCACCAGUGGCGAAGGCGGCUUGCCAGAACGCGCUCGACGGUGAGGGAUGAAAGCUGGGGGAGCA
rnacentral:rRNA from 1 species